CGAACGGGUGAGUAACACGUAUCCAACCUGCCGUCUACUCUUGGACAGCCUUCUGAAAGGAAGAUUAAUACAAGAUGGCAUCAUGAGUUCACAUGUUCACAUGAUUAAAGGUAUUCCGGUAGACGAUGGGGAUGCGUUCCAUUAGAUAGUAGGCGGGGUAACGGCCCACUUAGUCUUCGAUGGAUAGGGGUUCUGAGAGGAAGGUCCCCCACAUUGGAACUGAGACACGGUCCAA
rnacentral:rRNA from 1 species